rnacentral:lncRNA from 1 species
CACCCACCUCACUUUUCUCUCAAACGGCUAAAUUUUCUAGAUAAUUGGGCCAAAGAAAUAGUUAAUUAAUAAGUUUUUUUUAAUAUUUUUGCUUUUACCUGGCAUGGGAGAUUGAGAUUCACCCUCUUACUCUUUAAUCCUUGUCCAUCUAAGGCCAUCUCCAACCGAAGGGUCCAGAGGGCCAGAGGGCCGAAAAUAGCCCUAAAACCGUCUCCAAC